rnacentral:lncRNA from 1 species
AAAGAGACGCUGGAUAACAAAAGAAAGAGGUAAGCGUGGCCUGACCUAGCCACCCACCAACAGGAAUAAUGGCUGAAAAAGCGGGGUCUACAUUUUCACACCUUCUGGUUCCUAUUCUUCUCCUGAUUGGCUGGAUUGUGGGCUGCAUCAUAAUGAUUUAUGUUGUCUUCUCUUAGAAAGGCAAGAAGAUAUCAGAUUGACAUCAUUUAGAAGAAUUAAGAAAACUAUGAACAUGACUGAUUAUUAAAUGUCUCAUGUUAAACAAUGCAAUGUUUGACAUCACUUUACAAACUUGGAUCAUAAACUGGCACUUUGGUAUGCAUAAGAAUUUCUUCAGGACAAUAAGAAAUUAUGAGUGAAUUUCUCUAUAUUCUGAGUGAGAAAAAUGUUUAGCUGUGAUGAAAAAUGCAUGUCAUUAAAAAAAGUUUGAUAAAUUUAAUCACAUUACAAAAAAUUAUCCCCCCUUCCCUCUGGAAAAAACUAUAGAGAAAGUGGGCUGAGGCUGUGCAAGGUGGCUCAUGCCUGUAAUCCCAGCACUUUGUGAGGAUCCUUUGAGCCCAGAAAUUGGAGACCUUCCUAGGCGACAGAGAGAGACCCCAUCUCUACAAAAAAAAAAAAAAAAAAAAAAAAAAAGAAAGAAAAUGGGCUAGAGAUAAAAACAGACAAUUCAGAGAACAUAUAAUGUAAAAGUACACUUACUUAAUCUCUUGUUCACAAAAAGAGAAAUGUAAUUAAAACUACACUGAGGAAUUGUUGCUCACUUAUCAGAUGGGAAAAAAAUAAAGAUGUUUGACA